UAAUAGCUCCAUUGGUAAAGCAUGAGGCUCUUAAUCUCAGGGGCAAGGGUUCGAACCUCAUGUUGGGUAAA